UUGGCCCCGUUUUGCUUGUGUUUCUCAAAGUGGUCCCGGCGUGAGUGGUGCUUCAUUGUGAGCUUGGUAAGAAGUGACCUCUGUGCAGUGGGCGGGGUCCUGAUUAUGGAAGGACCUUGCAGGCCAUGGUGAGAGUAUGAAUUUUACUGUGUUAUUGAUAGCAAAGGUAUUCCAGGUGAUUUUAAUAAUGAAGUAAAGUGCAUAGAGUGUGGUGGUAGACUGCACCAUUUACUAGCUAUGGGACCUGGGUAAAUUACUUAAAUCAAGUUUGUCCAACCCGCCUUAUUUUGUUGUUGUUGUCAUUGUUGUUGUUCUGUUUUGUUUUAGGCUUUUGGCAGCCUGAAGCUAUGCUUUUUAGUUUCUGUCUCUAGGGAUAAGUGGAAAAGAGGGAUGAGGAAGGGGCUUUACUGGCCCAACCAGAAACAAACUAAGAACCCAUGACUGUAUUCUCUCCCUUGGACACCUCUAAUAAACGUUCUUUGCUUCAGUUUCCUCAUAAGGAAAAUGGGGACAGUAAUAGAACCUAUCCCACAGGAUUGUCAGUAAUUUAGCAAGAUAGAAUACCUAAUGAAAGAAUCAAAAGAAAGUACAAAUUAAAUUAGAAAUAAAAAUUUAAAACUGUGGCUUUGCUAAAAAUUCUGUAAUUAUGAUGAAAUGAUUAUCCUUCUGGAUAAAAAUAAUUUGUCAAAACAACUCAAGAAAAAAAUAGGAUAAUUUGACUAGAUCAUCAACCAUGGAGGAACUUAGAAAAUGUUAUAAAAACUGGACCCAGAGAGUUUUUUUUAAUAAAUUCAACCCUUUAGAGCACAAAAAUUCUGGUGUGAUGUAAACUUUUUUAGAGUAUAGAAAGAGGUGAAAGCCUUCCCAGCUAAUUUUGCAGAGAAAUUUUGAUACCAAGUGUUAAUAAUGUAUCAAUACAAUACUGAUUCAUUAAUUAUGAGAAAUAUACCAUCUCACUAAUGUAAGAGCUUAGAAAUAGAGAUGCAAACAAUUUAUAAAUAAAACACCAAUAAAUUGAAUGUUGUUCUUUAUAGUCAGCUGGACCCCUCACCCCAAGAACAUUAAGAAAUGUAUUAAUAUGUUGCAUCAGUAGAUCUAAGGAGAAAAGUCACUUAGUCAUCUGAUGCCAAGAAGCUAUUUGGUACUAUUUACUAUCUGUCCUGGUUUUAAAACUACGUGCAGGACCCUACCUUAGUUUAUUUUGGAACAUCUGGUUGACCCCAACAGCCCUCCUUAGUGGGAAGAAGUAGAGGAGGAUUUUCAAACAUGGAGACCUACUCAUUGUUUCUACCUCUAGGAAUUUAUCCCAUAGAACUACUUGCACAGGUGCAAGACUGUUCUGCAGUGUUCUUUAUAAGAGCAAAACUUUAGAAGUAACUUGAAUAUCUAUGAAUUGGGGGCUGUGUUUAAUAAAUCAUGGCAUAUUUACAAGAUAGAACACCAAGAAGUCAUUACAGUAACUACAGUAGACCUAAAAGUAUUGGUUUGGAAAGACUCUUUCCACCACAGGUGGUUUUGCCUGUUUUUGAGUUUAAUAUCAAUUGAGUAAUAUACUGUACUCUUUUGUGUCUGGCUGUUUUUAAACUCAAGGUUAUGGUUGUGAGAUUCGGCCUUGCUGUGUACAGCAGUAGUUGGUUUAUUCUCAUUGCUGUGAAGUUCCUUUGUAUGAAUAUACCACAAUUUAAUUACUGAUAGCUUGUAUAAGUUUUAUGGUCAGAAAACUCAGAUAGUUUAAAAAGUGAAAUUUGAUUGAAGUUACAGCUCCAAUUAGAGGUAUUUUAUAACUUGAUACUUUUAUGCAACAUUAGUCUGCAUUUAUCUAACUCGAGUUAGCUCUCCCAUCUUCUUUAUCCCCUUUUUAUUUCUCUCUUUUGGGUUCAUGGUCAUUAGUAUCUCCACUACAGAAUGAAAGGGAAACAGGAAAGAGAUGAAACCUGAAUCACUUAAUUGUGCCUCUCAUUACUGCUCUGGCUCAGGAAGAAUAAAGUGGGGUAGCUCUUUCAUUAAGGUACCCUUCCCAGUAACUGUGAUGCAGACAUUCAAAGCAAAUCUCUAGUACAAGAUAUAAUCUGAUACUGUUGCAGCCAAUGUUUUCUAGUUCCGUAGUUAAGUGGCUCAAAGCCAUAACCAAAUCUUCCUAAUUUUAGAUUGUUUGGCUUACCUUUCACAUCCAUUUAUUUAGGUUUAAUAUAAAAUUUAAUAAGGCAAUCCUAACUUGAAAGUUGAAAUGGACCUUAGAGAUCAUCUCAACUGGUAUUCGAAACCUGGUGGAUGAGGAGGUGGUGUCUCUCGUGGUCGGCCCAGCCUACAUAGUGGUGGGGACCCAAUCCAGAAUAGACUCCUGGCUUACAUUUUGGAGGCAAUGCUUUCUCCUUAGUCAAGAGCCUUUUGGAGCUCAUUUACAAAAGCAGUUAGCCCUUGCUUGUUCAUUUGUUUGCCCUUCUCUUGUUCAUUUGUUUCCAGCAUUUACUCUGUAGGCUUUAAGUUACUAAGCAGUUACUUCACAGUUUGUAAUUGUGUUUGAUUUGAUUCUUAUUUCUAGUCAUGGGCAAUAUAGCCCUUCAGUUUUAAAAGAUUUAUUCUAAAUUGGCCAUGGAAGAAUUCUGGUUGUGUCACUCUCUAAAAUUCAACCCAAAGUCCAAUUCUAUUUGAGUUAGCAUUCUGAGAGUAUAUCCAUAUUAUUAAGGUAGUAAGUGUAUGAAGUAACUUUUUUAUGCGUUGCUUUUCAGGAGUAGAGGUUUACCACUCUUAGGUGACUAAGCAGUAUCACAAAUAAACCCUCCAGCAAGUUUAAAAAUAAUUAGGUCCAACUCAGAGGAAGUGGAGUUUCUCCUGUUGCACAAAAAUGAUGUCUAGCAGCUCCAGUGAAAUCGAUGUGGU